CUCCAACUGCAAUGCCUGACUCCCGGUUGUUUCUCGGUUUUGGAUACGAAUGUUCGCGUAAUGACAACAAAUAUUCAUUUCUCCAUUGUUUCGCAAAUCGCUCGAGUAAUUGUUUGUGAUGCCGAAGUCUCCUAGUUAAUGACUUAUGGGUACUAACCACUUCAUAGUGUUGGGUAUUUGGAGAUGUAGUAAUUCGUCGUCCAUAGACUAGAUGCGACGGUGCAAGUGGAUACGAGAUAGCUUCGGUGUCAUCAUAGACGUAGGUUAUGGGACGUGCAUUCAAUAAGCCCUCAAUUUCCA